CUCUCAGCCUCUGGCCUCGCUGUCUAGAGAAGAGUGAGGAGCUCCUUUUGUAGAAGGAAACUGAGAGGCGGCGUGACUCAGACAUGUCGAUAGGUACCCGUUCCCAUCAGUUGGGGCUUCCCUAGACACAGUAUCACAGAAUCUAAUGCUGCAUCCAGCCUCUGGUGGAAGGAAGGCUGUGAUUAAGUAUCGAUGUCUGCCAGGCAUGGGUGCAACUGAUUAGCAGUGUCUACCAUGCAUAGGUGCAAUUGAUUAGCAGAGUCUACCAUGCAUAGGUGCAAUUGAUUAGCAGAGUCUACCAUGCAUAGGUGCAAUUGAUUAGCAGAGUCUACCAUGCAUAGGUGCAAUUGAUUAGUAGUGUCUACCAUGCAUAAUAUAAUCAAUUAGCAAUGUCUGCCAAAUGUGCAACUUCAUGAAUGCCAGAGAUUGUUGACUACUGUUUCUCAAUACUCUGCAAAUAUUCUGCUAAUUGUUAAGUGACCGUUAGAUGACGAGAGAGAGACAGACGGACAGACAGACAGACAGACAGACAGACAGACAGAGACAGAGAGAGAAACAGAGAGGCAGAUAGAUGAGUGCUAGAUCGACCUGUGAUCGGCUGGAAUGCUUGCCCAAGCUUGGAUGUGGAUCUGAGAGAGGUUAGAGCAUACCUGUGUGCAGAAACCUGAUUGCUGUACAUGACCAAGAUGUUCUCAACAGCCUGGCUUUCCUCACAGAGGAAGCUUCCCUCAGUUUCUAGCAGCACUGUCCUUCUAGCCUGAGAUGACAGAGCUCCAACAGCAAUGACAUAGACACAAUACUGCUGAAUUCUCUUUCUCGUAGAGCCGAGUUGGAAUGAGCUAGGCAGCUACUAGGCUCCACCCCCAGAUGAGAGUCUCACGUUACAUAGUGUUAUUGUACCCACUGCUUACAAUCACCUUCUAUUUAUAGGAAGAUUGGGUUUUCAAGCCACAGAAGUGAUGUGAAGAAGAAUCCUUAAAUAAGUGUAUUUAAACAAACAAACAAAAAAAGGUGAAUGUAUUUUAAAACUUUCCUGGAAAUAAUUGCAAAACUACCAUGCAUAGAUCAUUAAAAGAGAGAGCACCAAAUCCUUCCCAGACCUUGUCAGCAGUGGAAAUAAGUUGUAUUUCUGUAUGGGAGCUGAAGCAAGAGAAUCCCACAGGUUUGCCCAUUUGCCCAGGAUACACAGUCAAGAACGUGGAUGCAGGGCUCAGGUCUGACCCAUUUCUAAGAUAGAGGAGGCUGGUGACAGACAAGAUCCUGUGGCAGGAAGGGACAGGCAGGAAAACUCUUACAUAGGUUCUGAAUCCUCUCUGCACUGGCUCAUUUCUUCUUGCAAACAGGGGCCUUGCCCAAGCACCUGUUCCCAGGACAUCUGGUUGAGAGAGAUACCCACUUGGCUAGAUCUGGCCUAGCCUCUGGGACAGACCUUCUGCACCAAGGCACCUCAUAAGCUACUAGUCAGCUUGUGGUCCUGUGGUCUGAUCAGCCAGCCAGUGAGCUGUGAGCAGGAACCACGAAGGCAGGCACUGUGGGUAGGGCAUCCAUUAGUUAGGUCUGGGUCUCUGCUUCCCUGAGGAGAUAGGAUCUGAUCACCCUGGAACAGUGACAACACUGAGGCUCUGCUAGAGGAGCAGUCUAUAGAGAGCAGUUCUCUUCUCUGAGGGUGAGGUGGUACACUUAACAUGUCAUGGCUGCCAGGGCUGCUGGGCCUCGGGUCUCACAUUCCAGUGGGCUCCUUCAUGAGUUGGUGAGGUAGGCAUGAAAAGAUCCAACAGCCACUGCCAGGUAGGUAUUUGUGUCCAAACUGAGCCUAUCGUUGGGAGGCCCAGAGACAGCCCGAAAGAAAGAAAAUGGGUUAAGUGAAUCCCCUUCAUCUUCUUGAAUGGGAUGUGGAAGUCUGAGGGUUUAAGGAAGAAAAACCCCUCCCUCUAGAUAGGCAGGACAUACAGGUGAAGAUGAAGGACGUUUGAUACCUCGGUGAAGCACAGUGAACAGUGCCUGCAAAGGUGUGAGCCCAAG
rnacentral:lncRNA from 1 species